GAUGAACGCUGGCGGCGUGCCUAAUACAUGCAAGUCGUGCGGAAAGGCCACUUCGGUGGUACUCGAGCGGCGGACGGCAGAGUAACGCGUAGGAACAUACCCCAAACUGAGGCAUAACUGCUCGAAAGAGCAGCUAAUACCGCAUGUGAUCUUCGGAUUAAAGCUUCGGCGGUUUGGGAAUGGCCUGCGUCCGAUUAGCUAGUUGGUGAGGUAAAUGCUCACCAAGGCUUCGAUCGGUAGCUGGUCUGAGAGGAUGAUCAGCCUGACUGGAACUGAGAACGGCCCAGACUCCUACGGGAGGCAGCAGUAGGGAAUUUU
rnacentral:rRNA from 1 species